UGAAUACGAGACGCUAAGGCGUCGAAGUAGUGUAUGUCAUACUUCCAAGAAAAGCUUGCACUGUCAUAGAUAAAAAACGCCUGUACCAUAACCGACACAGGUGGGUAGGUAGAGUAUACUAAGGGGCGCGAGAUAACUCUCUCUAAGGAACUCGGCAAAAUAACUCCGUAACUUCGGGAGAAGGAGUGCCUUAUUCGUAAGGUUGCAAUAACAAGAUCCAAGCAACUGUUUAUCAAAAACACAGGUCUCCGCUAAGUCGUAAGACGAUAUAUGGGGGCUGACGCCUGCCCAGUGCCAGAAGGUUAAAGAAGUUGGUUAGCAAUUGCGAAGCUGAUAACUGAAGCCCUGGUGAACGGCGGCCGUAACAAUAACGGUCCUAAGGUAGCGAAAUUCCUUGUCGGGUAAGUUCCGACCCGCACGAAAGGCGUAAUGAUUUGGAUACUGUCUCGGAGAGGGGCUCGGUGAAAUAGACUUGUCUGUGAAGAUGCGGACUACCUGCACCAGGACAGAAAGACCCUAUGAAGCUUUACUGUAACUUGAAAUUGAAAUUGGACUUUAUUCGCGCAGUAUAGGUGGGAGGCGUUGAUUAUAAUCUUGUGGGAUUAUUGGAGCCAUCAGUGAGAUACCACUCUUGUAAUGUUAGAUUUCUAACUUUGAAUCAUUAUCUGGUCAAAGAACAGUUUCAGGCGGGCAGUUUGACUGGGGCGGUCGCCUCCUAAACGGUAACGGAGGCGUACAAAGGUUUCCUCUGAACGGUUAGAAAUCGUAUCUAGAGUGUAAAGGCAUAAGGAAGCUUGACUGUGAGACCUACAAGUCGAGCAGGGACGAAAGUCGGUCUUAGUGAUCUGACGGUACUGAGUGGAAAGGCCGUCACUCAACGGAUAAAAGUUACUCUAGGAUAACAGGCUGAUCUCCCCCAAGAGUUCACAUCGACGGGGAGGUUUGGCACCUCGAUGUCGGCUCAUCGCAUCCUGGGGCGGUAGUACGUCCCAAGGGUUGGGCUGUUCGCCCAUGAAAGCGGUACGCGAGCUGGGUUCAGAACGUCGUGAGACAGUUCGGUCCAUAUCCGGUGUAGGCGUUAGAAUAUUGAGAGGAGCCUUCUUUAGUACGAGAGGACCGAGAAGGACAUACCUCUGGUGUACCAGUUAUCGUGCCAACGGUAAACGCUGGGUAGCUAUGUAUGGAGUGGAUAACCGCUGAAAGCAUCUAAGUGGGAAGCCCACCUCAAGAUAAG
rnacentral:rRNA from 1 species